CCAACCGGAUGAUGGCAGAAACCAAGGGAGGGCAGGCAGAGCGGAAACGAGCCAGGAAAAGCGACAAGUCAGGAAGACCCUCGGCUCCUAUCCCGCCCCACCGCAGGGCCCCACACAGCCUGAGCCCGGGCCCCGAAAGGAACGAGGCCUCCUGCGCCUCGCGGAGACACUCACUUUUCACCUGAGGCCACCAGCUCUUUGCCCUCGCUGUUGCCAAACGCGUCCGUCUCCCCGGGGCCGUCCUUGGGGCCGGGCGCCGCCGGGGCAGCGGGUGGCGACACCCCGGGCUGCGGAUGCGUGCUCCCCUUGCCCAGCUCCUGCAAGAUCUCCGAAGGAGAGCUGGACAGGCCCCGCGCGAGGGGCUCCGCCGGCCAGCCGCCCCCGCCCCACCACGGGUGGAGUCGCGCGGCGGCAGCCGGGCCCGCGGCCGGCCGUCCCCCGCCUCGGGGACGCCGGCACAGGGUGACCAAGGGCUGUGCCCGCCGCAGAGUCGCGCUCACGCCGGCGGGCGACCGCAGGAGCAGGUCCCGCAGCAUCCCCGAGCCUCGCAGCCGCAUCAUGCCGCCGGGUCCGUCAGCGCCCGCUCAACAGGGGAGGAUGCUCCGGGCGUGGGCGGCCGGUUUCCUCGGGGAACGCGGUCUGUGGUGGGGCGGUGAGAUGACAGAAGAGGAAAGGGCAGCUACUUGGGUGUGGUUCCGGCUCGGACUCCCGCAGCGGAUGCGGGUGCUGCUGCUGCUGCUGCUGCUGCUGCUGCUGCUGCUGCUGCUGCUGCGCGCUAGGAUUGCCGCGACCGGUUCUCUUCGCUCCGCCUAAGGCUCCGCACUGAGGCUAAAGCGCAGGGGAGGGCUAGAGACCUUCAGCGCUCGCCGACGGCCCGCCCCUUUCGCCCGCUGCGAUUGGCUCAAAUCCUCGACCUCUCUUUUGAUUGGCGAUUAGGGCAGUCAAAUUUCUCUCGGCUCUGGGUGCGCGGAGAGUAGGGCGGGGGAUUGGUGGGGGGCGGGGAGAGGAGUCAAACUGACGUGUGAAGCGGGUGAGCCAGGCCCGGCUGCUCAGUAGCCACUUUCUGCACGCCGUGCCAACUCCGAGGCUAGCCUAGUUGGGUACUAGGGGCUCUGGGUUCUCGCAUUUAUGAAGCAGUGGGCUCCUCCACUCUGGGAAUUCGAGCUGUUGGGGAGACUCAUGGGCGAGAUCCCCCGCAGCCGAGGGCAGUGAGGUCAGCAGGUUUGGCAGGGCUGAGUCUGGCCGAGCUGUCGGAACUCAGCCGAUCCCAGCUCGCAUCUGGCCCCCAGGUCAGGGCGUCUGGCGACUCCUCCGAGAGCAGCCCCGGACAAGCUUCAUCCCUCUCCCAAAUGUAACAUUUGCUUGAAACUUUCCAUGAUUGGCUACUACCCAGACGUGAAGUGUUUUGGAAAAAAUGAGCAAAAUCCUUUCAGCUAUGCGACUUAAGCCAUGGGAGGGUGGAGGUGGAGGGAGGGCGACGAGUGGCGAGGCGGGGUGGGGGGGUUGCGGAAUCCAGAAUACGACAGCUUUCUUUUUUAAAAAUUAUUUUUUUUAAAUGUACACCGAUACUUCAAAAAUAGUUUUGAAUAGCAAUGAUUCCGUUAACGCUAUUUGCUUGAAAGCAAAACUGUAGAUACUUUUCUAUUUUAAAAACUGCUUCACUGUUUUAAAAUAGAAGCGUUGGAAUACGGGUUCUCUAAGUUAUUUCAGCAUCACUUUAUCCAUUUAUCCUUUUGGACCUGUGGAAAAACAGCCAAGAACCUGAUAAACUGAGUUAUUCCCUGAGGCUACAUACACAUUACAUUCCAGGACAAAAAAAUGUUUUUAGACUAUUUCCUGAAACAAUUAGGUUUAAAUGGAGUAGAUCCACAGAGUUUAAUAAGAUGUUUUGGGGGUUGGUGUGUUGUUACUGUGUUGUUGUGUGUGUUCGUUUUGAGAAAGGGUCUCACUCUGUCGCCCAGGCUGAAGUGCAGUGGCGCGAUCACGGCUUACUGCAGCCUUGAACUCAGGGGCCCCGGUGAUCCUCCCACCUCAGCCAGCACCUGCUUUUUUUUUUUUUUUUUUUUGUAUUUUUGGUAGAGACGGGGUUUCGCCAGGUUGCCCAGGCUGGUUUCGAGGGAUCUGCACCCCCUGGGCCUCCCAAAUUGCUGGGAUUACAGGCGUGAGCCACCACGCCCGGCCUAAUGAGGUGAUUUUUAUGAAACUAGAAGGGUGUAUGUCAGGUGCAUCAUUAAUUGAUAACCGGAUUUAGUAAUCUAGUGAACUGUAAAAUAUUUCAAUAGAUUAAUAAUUAGGAAAUCUGGCUGUACCUACAGGUUAUGUGACCUUUGGCAUGUUACAGCCUUGCCGUGUUUUAAGUUUUUUUUUUCUAUCUGCUCUUUAACCAGAAGAACAUGGAAAAAACUAUCAUGUGUAAAACAUAGUCACCUUUUUUAUUUAAAAAAAAAAAAGCAGGACAAUGGGAAAGUACUUAGAUAGCUUUUAUUACUAAUGUUACUUGUCCAAAAAUGUUGAUGAAUCAAAGUAAUGAUAUAUUCAGGAAUAGAGACAUCAAGUUUCAGAGGAAAGGUAACAAAUAUUACCCCUGCCUAACCCUGACUUGUUAAUGACUUGCAGACUUUAAUAUUGUCCAAUAUAUUAGCUGCAAUUAGUUAUCAAUUUUAACUGCCUCUUUUUUCUCAACAACACAAAGCAACUGACAAUCCAGUUACUGUUUUCCUCUCAGUUUCUCCCUUAAUUUCUCUGAGUUUCUUAUGAAAAUUGUUUUAGAUAUUUAAAGGUUUAAAGGCUUUAUAGUUCACUUAACAAAUAAGAAAGCUAACCUAGUAACAGAUUAUUUUCUAGAGUUUCUAGUUUCUAGAGUUUUAUUUUCUGGUAGUUUCCAGACUUUCUGCUUUUGGUGAGAAUGGAUAGAUAUUACUCCCAAAAUUUGGAAGAAUUGAGUCCACUGAAAUUUAACCCCUUGUUUGAGAAGGCUAAUGAAAAGGUUAUAGACAGCAAAGAAACUAUUAUAAAUAGAAUAAAAAUGUGACUCAAUACUUUCAUUUGAUUCUUUUCUUCAUCUUAUAUAAUUUUUUAAUCUUUAAAGAUAUUUUUAUCUACAACUUUGUAACCAUUACACAACUUUGAAGUUUCAGUUAUGUUAAAUUGAAUUAUAUCAUUACAUAAACUCAUGUAAUCAUCAUGUAAAAAGUAUAAAAACAUUUGUAUACAUACAAUAAGUAGUCCACCAAAAUAUCUACAAAUAGAAAAAUGCUCUCCACAUUAACUAUGGUUGGGUUGUCAGAUCUACUCUUCGACUUCCUUUUUGCUCCUAAGUGCAGCUACACUACAAAGAGUUGCUGUCCCAUAGCCAUCAUCAGGUAAUCAGCCAUCAAAAGGAAUAAUUGGAAUUUGUGCACUUUGUGUCUGUUCUAACUUGAAGAAAGGUUCCUGUGCUUCUAUGUUCCUGAGCUUCUUUGUUCUGUCGAAGAUUACAAAAGGCUAAUGUUUCAAGAUCAUAAUAAAAUCCAUAUAUAGGCCGGGCGCGGUGGACUCACACCUGUAAUCCCAGCACUUUGGGAGGCUGAGGCGAGCAGAUCACAAGGUCAGGAGAUUGAGACCAUCCUGGCUAACACGGUUAAACCCCAUCUCUACUAAAAAUACAACGAUUAGCUGGGCGUGGUGGCACACACCUGUAAUCCCAGCUACUUGGGAGGCUGAGGCAGGAGAAUCACUCAAACCUGGGAGGCCGAGGUUACAGUGAGCCAAGAUCGCACCACUGCACUCCAGCCUGGCAACAGAGCGAUACUACAUCUCAAAAAAUAAAAUAAAAUAAGAUAAAAUAAUAUAUAUAUAUAGAAAUUCCAGAUUGCGCCUUCACAAAAACUAGUAGAUUAUUUGUUGACCUAGAACUAAAAAGAAAGUAAUUUUCCUUUGACUAACAGCUUAAAAGAAUUGCCUAAGCCUUUUUUUGAAAUUCUUCUGUUUGGAGAAUAGAGUAAGGUUCAGGAAGCCUCUAAACAAGCUUCUGCUACUACUUCCCUUUCUUCUGUUGGUUUCCUGCUUUAACUGGCCAAAUUCCUAGCCUCACUGAUAAGCCCUGCCAAACAUGGCUUAUUUUUCCAAUACUGAAUAUAGAUGUGUACCAAAGUAAGUAUGGUAAAUCCCUCAUCUAUAAAAAGGGGAUAAUAUGGCCAGGCAAGGUGGCUCACGCCUGUAAUCCCAGCACUUUGGGAGGCCGAAGCAGGUGGAUCACCUGAGGUCAGGAGUUCAAGACCAGCCUGGCCAACAUGGUGAAACCCCAUCUCUACUAGAAAUUCAAAAAAUUAGCCAGGCAUGGUGGUGCAUGCCUGUAAUCCCAGCUACUCGGGAGGCUGAGGCAGGAGAAUUGCUUGAACCUGGGAGGCAGAGGUUGCAGUGAGCCGAGAUCUAGCCAUUGCACUCCAGCCUGGGCUAUGAGAGAGCAAGACUCCAUCUCAAAAAAACAAAGGGGGGCGGAUAAUAUUGGUACUUAUAGGGUUGUUGUGUGGAAUAAAUAAACAACACAUAUAAAGCACCCAGAAUAAUGACAGUAGCACUCUGUAAGUGUUAUAGCUGUUAUUAUCAAACCAUAGGUGAAUAAAUUUUGACAUGCAAUGUGAUCAGUUUUUACACUUAUUGUUGAAAAGCCAAACAAUUGUUUUAAACCAUCUAAUAAUAAAAUACCAUUUAAGGGGAACCUAGAGAUAAUUUACUUACUUCAUUUUUAGAAAAUAAACCAAUAAUUUUCAAAGUAUCUUAAAAUAGAAAAAGAUAAAGACAGUCAGAUUAAGAAAAGCUGGGCUCAGUGCCCAAAGUAACAGCUAUUCACAAAUAGCUAAAAAAAAAAAAAAAUUCCAGAGAAGGAAGAAUCGCUAAGAAAGCAGUCCUUGAAUAUACAUGUCAUAUACAAAUACCUUAACAUAUAGCAAUUAAAUCUAAAAAUAUAUCAUUUGCCAUCUAUGUAAAUGAAAGUAUACCUCUGUUCAUUGUGACAUCAUAUAAAAUGACAAGAGAUAUUCAUCAAAUUUGAGCAGCAUAUCUGAAUGAUCUGCCUUAAAAUACUAACUAUAUGAAGUUCUUUUUGAGAGUUUCCUGAUGGCCGGAGUGGGGGUUGGGUGGGAAUCAGUUAUUUUUCUCCACUUAGAGUAAUAUGAUAAAGAUUUCAAUUAGUGGAGUUUGUAAGGUAAUAUUGUUUAUAUUUACACCACCAUUAUAUUUAUGGGGCCUCCAAAUAUUAAUUUUUUAAAGUGAUUUUAAUGCUUAUUUUUCUGUGGAUUCAUAUUAAAAAUAAAUCAGGCUAAACCCCA